GGGGCGGGAAAUGAUCCCAAAACCCCGAAAUCACGCGUGAAAUCCCCUCCCCCCUCUGCUCUUUUCCAGAGGAACACAAGGCGAAAACGCGCCGAUGCAUGGAGGAGCACAGGAAAAAAGAAGAAAAAAUGGCAACCGUGACGCUGGCCCCGGA